GAUGAGCUCAGUUAUGAGGAAAGGUUAGCUGACCUGAACUUGUCCUCUCUGGAGAAGAGGCGAUUAAGGGGGGACAUGAUCACCAGGUAUAAAUACAUAA